CUUACGUGCCAGGUUGGUCAGAUAAUAGCCGGAAUAUCCAAUGACAUAAAUGGUGCAAACGGCAACAGCGAGCUGCUCCAUCAUUGUAGCACUGCUGUGCCAGUUUGCACACUCUGCUCCACCACAAGGAAAAACAAGGCUCCUGUCAGUGUGCAGCUGCCCACUGACAAACGCCUCAAGCAGGAGGAUGCUCCUGCACUGAGCAAGCCCAAGAGCUGCUCUGACCCUGAGGCCUUCCGUGCACCAAGGCAACCUUGGGAUGUCACCACGACAAGGUGGCAUCCAUGCCCUGAUAUCACAAAGCCAAUGCUCUGCACUGCUCUGGGAAUUGAUGCAGAGCAACCCAACAUUCCCUACAGCAAACACAAAAUUGCCUGGGAGCUUCUCCUCUGUCACAAAGGGUCACAAAUCCUUUGCUGGGCUGUGGGAAAUGGAAAGACAGAAACUUCCACAGAUACUGAAGGGUUUGAUUUACAGCCUUGGAAGGAGCUUGGGUUCAUGCAAUGCUAAAGGUUCACAGACGUUGAGUCAAGAAUUCAUAAGCUUAUGUUCCUAUAGCUCAAUAAAUCGACUUCACAGCACCAGUGGUCCCACCCCUCGUUGUUUACAGCCUGACAAUGGGCCAAACCCUGUUGUUCAAGAGAUCCAAGAGUAACUCCAAGAUUGCCCUGUGGAGAGAGAAAACAAAGAGAACUUGUCCUAAGAGAACAAAGAUUGCUCCUCAGUCAAGGCAGGAUGGAUGGAACAGAGUUUCUAAAAUGUAACAAGUAGCAGAAGCAGAGUAGUUUGCAGAAGAAAUUGUUAUACAAGCGCUUGUCCUAGGGAAAUAAAACUGAUGUUGCUAAUAGGGAA